AAGGUCUUAACUAAACACACGCUGUCUGUCUGUGGGGUUGUUUGAGCUUUGUGUGUUGUGUUCUUAAUCAUUAUUUCGGAUUAUUUUUCCUUCUGCACUUGCAGAAGGUCUGAGCUCAUUCUCUGUCAGUGCGGUUGUGUCGACUCCUCCCUCUCGUGUAACGUAGGCUGAUCUUCCUUCCGAAUGGUCUAUAGCGUUUAAAAGCCUCAUCGCAAUGCAGUGGAAGCGUUUGUUUGUAAGCUAAUGUGUGUGCAACGUGCUGUCCUUGGACAUAGAAAUCUGCUUUUCGGAAAGAUCAGUCUGAAAAAGGUUACAUUAAACGUAUCUGGUUUGUCAAGAAGUGAAAAUAGUAAAGUGCCGUGUGUCAUCUUGUUUAUUAGAGGAGUGAAGCUGUAUUGGAGUUCUGCACAAACAGGUUUAUAGGGCUGCCUUCGAAUGAAGGAAAUCUCGGUCGACCAGUGAACACUUUUUUUUUUUUUCCAUCUGAAGUUGAUUCGUUGAAACUUUAAAACAUUGAUUUUUGUUGUCUUUCCCAGUGUAUAUUGUGAAGUAGGGGUGGGGGUGAAGGAGGACGAUUGUGGACCGGGGGGAUUAGCUAAAUUAUUAUGGUCGCUAGUGUUUGUGAGCAAUCUUAGGCUAACCAUAAAAGGUGAAAAAAAAUAAAAAAUGAGGUCGCUUGUUACAUUUCCAAAAAAAAACACCCUGAAUUUUUUUUAAACGAGCCUGAAAAAAUGCAACUUCACAUUUUUUUCAAGCAACUUCUGGGGGAUAAAAAGCCCAAAGUCAUUAUAAGCAUUCUUGGCCACUCCAGAGAAACUGACUUGUUAUUGUGAAAGCUGGGUGUUCGUCAUGGGAAAGACUGAAUAACUUUGCAGUCACAGCAAAGUUGUUGGAAAUCAUGAAGUGUUUAAAAAAAAAAAAAAUCAUUAAUUUAUUAAGUUAACCGGUAGACCUCAUGUGCAGCAGUAGUAAAAAGAUUGAAAUAAUGUUCAGCUGUACCAACAGUAACAGAUUUUUGAAGUUUAUAAACAAAAAAUCAGAGGGAAGUUGGCACUUGGAACAAAAUAUGCGUUGACAAGGCGGGUGAAUGUAAUCACUUCGGUCCAUCAUGGAAAGAAUGAACGUGUUUUUAUUCUGCCUUGUUCUUAGAAACAGCAUGCCCAGAUAUCACGAAAAGAUCCAGGAAACUGAAAUGUGUGAAAUCUUUGCUGAUGUGCUGUUUUUAAUACAUUUUUGCUAUCGCAAACGGUGGAUGAAUAUUUUAAAAUGAUUCUAGCAAAAGAAAUAAAUAAAAGUCUGUCCCGAAAUUGGCUUGCUUUCCUACUUGGCCAAAUGCCAGGUUUUCAGUGGGCGGGGUUCACUGGGUGUUCGUUACGUAAAAAAAACCGUAAGUCCAGUGAAAUCUUUUCUCCAUGUAAUAUUUAAAUGACACGCUUGCCACUUUUGUGUGGGUAAGGACAGCUAAGUUGAAAAUGCCUGAGCAUUGCCCCCUUCUCUGGAUGUGGAGAAGACAAUACGCUGUCUUCUUUUCGCAAAAAUGAAGAGUCAUAGCUUCAAGAAAUGGGUUUUCUUUCUGGGGUUUGUUUCUAGUUACCAUCCAAAAUUGCUGAAAAAUCACAGAAAGAACUAAAAAUGGCUUAAAAUAGGGAAUGUCACAGAACUGCCAGAACAAAUGGCAAAAACGUGGAAUCUGUGACACUCGCGUGACAAACACUCAGUCGUAGUUUUGCCGAUUGUUGGAAAUGAUAUUGCAACCAAAUUCCGUGAUCUCAGCGAUUGGUGCGUUUGAAAGACAAUCGUACUCGUAUUGACCAGGUGAGCACGCAGGUUUUUCAACAGGUGUUUCUGGGCAAUCGGUGUGAUCUGUUUUCUGUACUGUCAAACCACUUCAAUAAUGUAGGCUAAUGGUUGAGUGGAGAUGUCAUAGCAGGGACAUAAUGUGUUUUAUAGGAUCGAUAUUUUGGAGAAAGGUUGAUUGUUUAUAUGAAUUAGUGUGAUUAUAAUUAAGAUUUUAAUGUUGUACAUGGCUGAUGCGCUGUGCACAUGCCCUGUGUUUGGGUCAGAAUAAUUUACGCCUGUGCACAUGCCCUGUGUUUGGGUCAGAAUAACUUGCGCCUGUGCACAUGCCCUGUGUUUGGGUCAGAAUAACUUACGCCUGUGCACAUGCCCUGUGUUUGGGUCAGAAUAACUUGCGCCUGUGCACAUGCCCUGUGUUUGGGUCAGAAUAACUUGCGCCUGUGCACAUGCCCUGUGUUUGGGUCAGAAUAACUUGCGCCUGUGCACAUGCCCUGUGUUUGGGUCAGAAUAACCUGCGCCUGUGCACAUGCCCUGUGUUUGAGUCCCGAUGUGACCUGGAGCUGACCCUGUGCCAGGGACACCCUCGCCUCCCUACCCCUCAGAAUGGCUUUCCGGAGGAUUCUGUGUGUUCUUGGAUUGCAAGCAUAUAAUCGUGAGAGUCCUUGAGUGUGCAGCUCUUGCUAGAUCAUUGGUGGGGGGGGAAGUGUUUUUCACUCUCUCUCUCUCUCUCUCUCUCUCUCUCUCUCUCUCUCUUUCUCCCUCCCUCCCUCCCUCCCCGUCUCCGUCUCUCUCUGGUAUGAGUUAGUGUCAGUGUGUGGGCGGAGCGGGAGUUAAUCACUGUGUUUUGUGUGAGCGGUGCGUGUGCGGAGCUGGAGUUAAUGGUCGUGUGUUAAGUGCGCGGCGUCCAAUUAGAGACGCGUCCUGCCCCCGCUGCCGUGGCCUGUCUGUGAGCUGUCUGUGAGCUGUCUGUGAGCUGUCUGUCGCUGUGGGCUCGGAAACGCUUCUCCUAAACCCCCCCCCCAGUGCAUCGUUUCAGCACUGCGCAGAUAGUCAUAUGAAGCAAUAAUAAUAAUAAACCUUAUUUAUUGUUUUAUUGGGCCCUUAUAUACCCAACAUGGCUGCCAGUACGCUGGCUAUAAUGCAGCUUUUCAAGAUUCAGGAUUCAAGAUUCCCUUGGUUUUCCAGGUUUUCCUGAAAUUUUCUGCAAAGGAAGAGUCUUUUCACAGUUGAGAGUAUACGUGGGUGGCAGUGUAGCGUAAUGGGUAAGGAACUGGCCUUGUAACCUAAAGGUCAUAGGUUCGAUUCCCGGAUAAGACUCUGCCGUUGUAGCCUUGAGCAAGGUACUUAGCCUGCAUUGCCUCAGUAUAUGUCCAGUUGUUUACAUGGAUGCAGUGUAAACGCUGUGUAAAAAACGUUGUGUAAGUCACUCUGGAUAAGAGCGCCAGCCAAAUGCCUGUAAUGUACUGUAAUGUACUGUAAUGGGUAAUAUGGAUUCCUUUGGGGUUAAUCUUGUGGUUGAGGCUGGGGUUUGGUGAGGUGCCACUAUGGUAAACAUCUGCUCUAUUCCACCUGGGUUUCCCAGGGGACUGAAACGUCAACUUUGCUUUUUGUAUCGUUCAAAAUAAUUAUUCAGGCUACAAAUGAAUCGAAAACGAUUUACAGAAUUCAGAUUCAGAUGUGGAUACUUUAAUGACCACACAGCCAAGGCUGGUUGAAUUUGUGAGCUGUGCAGAAUAGUAAGAAAAACAGCAGGGUCCCAACAUUUAACGCCAACAUCAUAAUAACUUCUAACACAAUACAGACAAUUUAACACAAUGCAACAUGGGACAUCCCAGACAUUUUAACACAAUAGAAUAUGAGACAUCAUAGACACAGAAGCAUGACAGACAGUAGUUCACUGGCAGAAGCUGCUGGUUGCUUUUUGUGCUGUACCCAGUUGUCACAGAAACGUCUGACACAUAGAAACGUCUGACUUGGUUUUACCUGACGGAACUUGGCAACGUGGCACACUUCUCAACCCCGGUGCUGGGGCCCUCUGCUGUGCCGCUGCUUUUGUUCCAGCCGUAAUAACAAGCUUUGUGUUGUAACGAGCUGCUAAUCGUUCUUAAUUAGACACUUUCACCGUCUAUCGAAGGACGAUUUCCCCUCCUAAUGCCUCCUUCUGCCAGAAAUAACUUGGCAUGCCCGAAAAAAUAAAUAUCCCAUUUUCACAUCCCAGGGAUUUCAGUCGCUCAAUUGAUCAGUUGCUUUCAUUUGCUGUGCUGUGUGUGGUGUAUGCCAGAUAAUUCCAAUUGAAAUUGGUUCCGUUUUUAAAUGAUUUUAAUUCAAACUGACAGGUGAAAUCAGUUGGCUCCUAUUUUCUGAGAGUGUGCAAACAUGAAGCCAUCUGUGUGAAAUAAAUGGAGUUUAACUGACAGCAAAUUGCAACAAGCCAAACCCACAUUGUGUGUGUUCCAACAAAUUUAACCGCACAAUUUAAUUUAACCUUUUUAAAAACCUUAAUGUUUUAAACUGUGUAACUGAAACCAGCUGACACAGUGCUGUAUGAGAGCUGGGAGCUGGUUAAAAAGAGCCUUUCUUUAUUGAGCUUUAGUGGGCCCUCAUUGGACAGCCAUGCAAGCUGCGUGUGCAUAAUCAUGGUUUUUAUGAUGGAAUUACCUUUCUGCAGCCAGAUUCACGCAUGUGUGUUUGGAGUUUUUUUGGGGGGCUUUACCUGUUAACUAAAACAUGCCACAAUAUCUAGAAUGACUUUUUUAUGUGUAUUUUUGCCUCCCCGUCCCAGAAAUUAUUAACUAUUGUAUGCUGACAUUUUAUUUUGGGCAAAAAAAAAAAGUAAUAA